rnacentral:lncRNA from 1 species
UGCCCUCAUAUUUGACUUAUACAGUCAUUUUUUUUUUUUUUAAUAUUUAAAACAAUUUAAUUUCUAUCAAAGUCAAUUCAACAUUUCAUGAAAAACCAGAUGCUCCGCAGGGCACAGCUUUAUACGACUGCAGAGUUCAAACCCUGAACAGUUGGGGCUAGUAUGGACACAACUUUCAAGCUUGAUACAGCUCUGAAUUUGGAUAGUGAUUAAAUAGUUGACACAACAUAGGUUUCUGACACAGAAUGAAUGUGGUCUAAGAACCUAAACUUAAAAACUUUAAAUUGGACAUUUACUUAUUAUGGUCCAAUAUCCAAAAUCUAAAUACAUGGUUAUAUUCAGCAUAUCAAAGAACCCCAAGAAUUCAAUUUUUGUUGAAAUCAAACAAAGUUUAAUUUUGGACCCUGAUUUGGACUAACUUGAAAACU